UUGGGAGUCUGAAUUGGAAGUGUAGCUCCUGGGCUUCUUUUAGCUGAGGUCUGUGUGAGACUCAGAGGCAGUGUUUGAGGAAGUCCAGUGCCACUAACAUUGUCUGAGGAUUCCUAAACAUGGUGUGGAGAAGAUGGCAUGCAUUUCUCCUGUAGAGCAUGGGGUCCAUGCUCUCCUUCUGGAGCAGUGGAAGGAACAGGGAAGAGCUCCUGCAACGACAGACAAUUAAACCCGCUAAAAGUAGAAGGGCAGCCUGAAAGCUACAGAAGUGCUGUCUUAUGGCCUGUCACCAGAGAGCAGCCCAAAAGCCUUGGCUCAAGAGAGGUCACUGGUACUCUGUGUGUGUGUGUGCAGGACCUCAGCCUGCAGGCAGGAAGCAAAUUAAAGAAGCAAGGCUUUCUGUUCGGUGUAAUUUCAUAUCUUGGGAUGAAUGGAGUCAUUGUGGCAAUAACUAGAUUAUCUGAUUAGGAGAUGGAUCUUACUGCAGUUGUAUAGCCCCAUUUUCUAAGAGGAGUUAAUGUCUUUUGAGUUUUAUGGAUACUGCUCGUGUUUGGAGAGGCUUCUGAACAAAAAGACUGUGAUUCACUUCCUCUCAAGCUCAGUUUGGGCACUGCAGCAGUAUUGCAUACAACCUCUUGUGAUUUUCUAAAUUACUUUAAAACCUUUUAAAUCUAAGAAUGUCCCAGGCAUCUGCACUUAUUCCCAAGUUUCAAUUUGCCUCUGAGACUUAGGAUUUAUUUGAUUCCACAAAAUGGCAUCUCAGUGGUGUAAUGUGAACCUUCAGUAUUUAUUGGGAGAGUAUUUUAGCUGUCUUAAGGUGUUUUUGUUUCGUUUUGUUGAAUUACCAAAGGAAUUGUAGAAAUUUAUCAUUGCUUGACAGUGGUAGUUGUGUACACGUACAUGCCUUUUGUGAAACUUGACUGAGUCAUUGUAAAUAUUUAUGAUCUCUGUGUGAAAUGUUACUGCACUUAAGCAGUGUCCAGAUUUUUUUAAAUCAUUUUUGCCCCUGGAUAAAGAGCUAAAUCAUUGACUCUGUUAUUUUUGUAAGUAAAGAAAGAUGUAUUGUCACUUCUAAUGUACAAAAUGUUGACAUAUACUGUCUGCUUUAUUACUAAAUAGCUUUCUCCUUUUCCUCUCCAUCUUUCUAAAUGUAGC